AUUGAACGCUGGCGGCAUGCCUUACACAUGCAAGUCGAACGGCAGCAUGAUCUCGCUUGCUAGAUUGAUGGCGAGUGACGAACGGGUGAGUAAUACAUCGGAACGUGCCCUGUAGUGGGGGAUAACUAGUCGAAAGAUUAGCUAAUACCGCAUACGACCUGAGGGUGAAAGUGGGGGACCGCAAGGCCUCAUGCUAUAGGAGCGGCCGAUGUCUGAUUAGCUAGUUGGUGAGGUAAAGGCUCACCAAGGCGACGAUCAGUAGCUGGUCUGAGAGGACGAUCAGCCACACUGGGACUGAGACACGGCCCAGACUCCUACGGGAGGCAGCAGUGGGGAAUUUUGGACAAUGGGCGAAAGCCUGAUCCAGCAAUGCCGCGUGUGUGAAGAAGGCCUUCGGGUUGUAAAGCACUUUUGUCCGGAAAGAAAUGGCUCUGGUUAAUACCUGGGGUCGAUGACGGUACCGGAAGAAUAAGGACCGGCUAACUACGUG
rnacentral:rRNA from 1 species